UACGGAGGGUGCGAGCGUUGUCCGGAAUCACUGGGCGUAAAGGGCGCGUAGGCGGCGCGGAUAGUCGGCGGUGAAAGCCCGGAGCUCAACUCCGGGUCGGCCGUCGAUACUUCCGGGCUUGAGCACUGUAGAGGCAGAUGGAAUUCCGGGUGUAGCGGUGGAAUGCGUAGAGAUCCGGAAGAACACCGGUGGCGAAGGCGGUCUGCUGGGCAGUUGCUGACGCUGAUGCGCGACAGCGUGGGGAGCAAACGAGGAUUAG
rnacentral:rRNA from 1 species